GAUGAACGCUGGCGGCGUGCCUAAUACAUGCAAGUCGAGCGGUAAGGCCACUUCGGUGGUACACGAGCGGCGGACGGCUGAGUAACACGUAGGAACGUACCCCAUACUGAGGGAUAAGCACCGGAAACGGUGUCUAAUACCGCAUGUGCUCUUCGGAGUAAAGCUACGGCGGUUUGGGAACGGCCUGCGCAUGAUUAGCUAGUUGGUGAGGUAAUGGCUCACCAAGGCGACGAUCAUUAGCUGGUCUGAGAGGAUGAUCAGCCAGACUGGGACUGAGAACGGCCCAGACUCCUACGGGAGGCAGCAGUAGGGAAUUUUCCACAAUGGGGGCAACCCUGAUGGAGCAACGCCGCGUGCAGGAUGAAGGCUUUCGGGUCGUAAACUGCUUUUAUCUGUGAAGAUUAUGACGGUAGCAGAUGAAUAAGGAUCGGCUAACUCCGUGCCAGCCGCCGCUGUAA
rnacentral:rRNA from 1 species